GGGUCAUUAGGUUGGUCGUGCCACCGGUACGUACUGGUCUCACUGAUUCCUCCUUCCUGAAGAACCUUAAUGCCAUUAAUUUGGUGUUGCGGGGAAACAGGACUGUUACUUUGAAAAAAUUAGAGUGUUUAAAGCAAGCUAACGCUUGAAUACAUUAGCAUGGAAUAAUGAAAUAGGACGAUCGAUCCUAUUUUGUUGGUUUCUAGGAUUGACGUA
rnacentral:rRNA from 1 species